rnacentral:rRNA from 1 species
AUUGAACGCUGGCGGCAUGCCUUACACAUGCAAGUCGAACGGAAACACGUCGACGUUUGCUGACUAGUGGUGGAGGGGUGCGGAAUACUACGGAAUGUGCCCACUCGUUGUGGAUAUGGGGUCGAAAGCUUUAAUAAUACCGCAUACGAGCUAAUAAUGAAAACAGCAGACCGCAAGACCUUGCGCGGGUUUUGCGGUCGCUGACAGAUUAGCUAGUUGGUCAGGUAAAAGCUUACCAAGUCGACGAUGCGUAGCUGAUCUGAGAGGAUGAUCGGCCACACUGGAACUGAGACACGGUCCAGACUCCUACGGGAGGCAGCAGUAGGGAAUCUUCCACAAUGGGCGAAAGCCUGACGGAGCAACGCCGCGUGAGUGAUGAAGGUCUUCGGGUCGUAAAACUCUGUUAUUAGGGAAGAAAAGAUGUGUAAGAAACUAUGCACGUCUUGACGGUACCGAAACAGAAAGCCACGGCUAACUACGUG